GUAAUGUAGGACUGCAAAGAUUUAAUAAAAAUCAGUGUUAACCUUAAAAGAAAAUGGGGUUCGAGCAGUAGUUGGCAUAGUCUUGGAAAAU